rnacentral:misc_RNA from 1 species
AAGUCGUAACAAGGUUUCCGUAGGUGAACCUGCGGAAGGAUCAUUAUUGAAUAAACCUGGCUUGGUUGUUGCUGGUCUUUUCGGAGACAUGUGCACGCCUUGUCAUCUUUAUAUUUCCACCUGUGCACCUUUUGUAGACUUGAAGACAGUUUUCCGAGGCAACUCGGUCGUGAGGAAAUGCUUUAAAAGGCUUUCCUUGAUUGUCUUCAGGCCUAUGUUUCAUAUACACCAUAAGAAUGUAACAGAAUGUCAUUAUUAGACUUAUGUCUUAUAAACUAUAUACAACUUUCAGCAACGGAUCUCUUGGCUCUC